UGAACAUUUGACUGAUUUAUCUUGAUACUACUUACUUUUGGUGUGUUUACGUAUGGUUCACUGCAUCGCGAUUAUUGGCUGAUUACUUGAUUACUUCUUGUUAUGGUUAACUGUCUAGAGCUUUAGUCUGUCUUUAGAUCUGUUCUCAUAAGCUUGUUAAUGGUGCUAUAGUCAUUGGGUAUGAAUAUUCUAUUUCUUAAGUUUCUUACAUUGGGAUAAUCUGUUCUGACAAAGCCUCAUUUAAAUGUAAGUGAAUUGGUAUAUUCUUGCUUUGUAUUGUGCCUGGUUGCCUGUACUCAUUUUAAUAUUCAUCUUUAUUGUUUGUCAGGUCACUUUGUCUUACUGAUAUCUGGAUUAAAUCACUUUGGGAGAAAUCUAUUCGUUUCAUUUCGGGAUAUUAGUUAAAGAGACAUAGUAGGCAAGGGUGAUUUGUCAAUGGGCAGAAAUCCAAACUAGUGACAUUUAAUGAUACUGCACCUACACCUACAAACUGGAGUCUGAAUCAAGCAGUUCUUCUUCAACCUUUCGAGGAUUCAGCAAUACAUCAAAGCAAGAAUGCCAACUAACAAUGGCAGAAUAUUUUCAAGGUCAGAAUUUCAAACAACUCAAGAGUAAGUUUCCGGUACUCAAAGUAAAUUUGGAAAGAAUUUUAACACGAUUUGAGCACUCUCUGGAAAGAAGAGAUUUUGAAAAGGUCAAAAUACUGUUUCAUGAUGCUAACGAUAAAAUAGCAUUUUUGGUCUGUCUAAUUGAUACUAUGGAAUUGGCUCUAAUUGAAGAAGACAGUACUACACAAAGUGAGGAAAAACCCGUUAUAUCCAAAUUUAGUGAAGAAAUUUUACGUGUGGAAAACAAGAUUGCAAUCGAUUUUGAGAAAUAUGAAGACAAACUAGAUAUAAAGCCGGUGAUAUCAUCUCUUGUAACCACUCAAAACAAUUAUAAUAAUGAUCCUCCUAUGAUUAAGUUAUGUGGUAUGGAUCCGCCAUGCUGGAACGGACAAAAAGUAGACUUUUAUACCUGGAAAGAACGUUUUACACAUAUAAUGCACCAUGCUAGAAUUACGGAUGAUUUAGUGCAAAUUUCAUGGCUUUUACGCAAUGGUGCAAUGCCAAACGAUUAUCAAACAAUGAUAUGUGACUGUAAAUCAAUUUCAAGUGCAUGGGAACGCCUGGAAGAGCGUAUUCCUAAAUCAGUAGUUCAACGUGAAGUAAUCAAGCAAUACGAGCAAAUAAAACCUUUAUAUAAGACCUCUCGUAAUCCAGCGAACCUUAGGCGACUAGCUCACGAAAUUUCUCUCUUCUGCCGACGUAUGGAAGAUCUUGGGUUAAAACAGGAUGCAAACUCGGUUAUUUCUGUCAAUAGAGCAUUAGAGUGUCUAGAUGCAGACACUGCACUGCGAUAUAAUAGUUCCAGCAAAGGUAAUCAUAACUUGGAAUCUAUAACGAAUUUUCUGAGAUCUGAAGCUACAGCGUUGGAAAUAUCUGGUAACUUUAUCUGUCAAACCGAGAAUAUGAGGUUUCGACCGAGACAAAACCAGUCGCCAAGAUCUAAUUUCAAUACGGUUAAUCAUGCUACAGACGAGAAUGAUAACAUGGGUUCAGUUCAGCCACGUCAAAGGACAGUCACUUGUAUUUUUGGAUGUGGAAUUCAGCACCGCCUUAUAGACUGCAACAAAUAUCAAAACCUAUCAAUUCCUGAAAGAAAAAACUUUAUAGCAGAUGAUCGAAGAUGUUUUAUAUGUCUAGGAACUCACUUUGCAAGAAAUUGUGCAAGAACAACAGCCGAUAGCUGUGUAAAUUGUAACCAAAGACAGCAUCAUUGGUCAUUAUGUCCCGGAAAAGUACAGGGAAAUUACAAUACAAUGAGAAAUUCUGGUAUGAACGACUCGAAUUUGGAAAGUCAACAUAUUCACUCUAAUGCAGCAGUAUUCAACCAAUCUCAGAUGCAUUCAAGACAAUUGAGCGCUUUUAAUUUGGAUUAUUCUCCAUUACUUGUUGCAGAAGUGCAGGCGAGUGACAAAACAUGGAUCAAGGCAAAUUUCUUUCUUGACGGUGGCAGUAACCAUUCUUUGGUAAGACGUAAUUUUGUAAAAUCAUUGAAACAAAAGGCAAUAGGUCAUGGAACAAUUCGGUUUGGUGUCGCAGGAGGAGCCAUUCAUGAAGAACCUUCUGAAGAUUAUAAUUUGAAAAUUAGACCUCUUUCACGAGACCAGAUAUUUGAUAUCAGAGUUACGGCUGUGAGAAAACCUUGUCACGAUGUUACACCAAUUCCGCCAUCUAUUUUUAAACAGUUUGAAUAUCUAAGAAGAAUUCAGGAUAAAAUACCAGUUGGGCAAAAAACAGUCGAUGUUCUUGUUGGUAGAGAUUAUGCACCUUUAAUUCAAACAAUGCAUUCAUUACGUUCGCCAAUUGAUCCCGAUAAUCAUCCUUCAGCAGCUUUCACAUCUCUUGGAUGCUAUCUAUAUGGAGGCAUUAUUCAAGCACCGCAACGAUCUUUCAAUCAUGUAGCAAAUAUUAAUAGUUUUUCAUCAUUAGAAAAUGAAGAGUUGCGCAAGUUUUUCCAUGGUGAAGUUCUUGGAGUGCAACCCACAACUUUGUGUGUUUGUUCUAACUCAGAAAUUGCAGAAUCAGCAUUUAUCAAACAUGUAAAAGCGACAACCAAUAUUAGUGCUGAUGGCCGAGUUUGUGUCAAAAUGCCAUGGAAACCUGGUUUCCCAGAAAAAUUGCACAACAAUUAUGAGAAGGCGUAUGAACAAAUGAAAAAACGGGAACAAGAAUUGUAUAGAAAAGGAAAAACGGAAGAGUAUAAUAUGGAGAUUAAAAAUCUGCUUCAGCGAGGCGUAGUACGACGACUAACACCGGUUGAAACGAAAACGGCUAAAGUUGAAAAUGCAUGGUACCUCAAUCAUCGUAUCGUAGAGCGUCCGGAUAAAACCUCAACAAAAUUAAGAAUAGUAUUUGAUUCUGCGUGUCCUUUUAAGGGCACAUGUCUCAAUGAUGGUUUAGAGAAAGGCCCCAGCUUUGCGAAUUCUUUGUUCAGAUGUUUCAUGGCAUGGCGAGCUGAUAGUGUGGCUAUUGCUGGUGAUAUAUCGAAAAUGUUUAAUCAAAUUCAAAUGGCAGAAGUCGAUCAGAAAUUUCAUCGUUUCCUUUGGCGCUAUGGUGAUUCAUCGUUGCAACCAACAAUCUUUCAAUGGCUUCGGGUUAUGUUCGGAGAUAAAUCUAGUCCUGACUUGGCAUGCUUUACAAUUAAAUUUUUAGCCGAUAAAUUUCGAAAAGAUCAUCCUCUUGGAGCUGUUGUAUUGGACAAAGAUACAUACAUUGAUGACGUCAGUCAUUCUGUUUCGAAUCACAUUCUUGCAAACAAGGUUAUCAAUGAUGUUGAUCAAAUACUUAUUCGUGGAAAAUUCUCUAUAAAGAUUUGGAACUCAAACCAUCCUGAAGUAGAUCAAAAUCCUGGUGAAAAAGUUGUUGAUGUACUUGGUCAUUCCUGGAAUAAAACUGAUGACAGUUUCAGUUCAAAAUUCAAAGACAUUUCUUUCAUGCAAACAGGAUUUUCUAAAAGAAAAGCAUUAGCAUGUGUAAUGAAAUUGUGGGACCCUCUGGGUUAUUUACUUCCAGUCACAAUGCAGUAUAGAAUAGAUCUUCAAAAGAUCUGGGCAGAUGGAUUUAGCUGGGACCAAACUUUGCCAGAUGAUGUGGUCAAAUGCUGGUAUAACAAUGUUCAAGAAAUGUCCAAGUUAGCUCAAGUUUCAACUCCAAGAUGUCUGAAACCUGAAAACACAACUGGACCUCCUCAACUGCACGCAUUUUCAGACGGUGGAGAUUUAGCCUAUGGCACUUGUGUGUUCUUACGGUGGCCUACAACAGGUGGAGUUAAGCUAACAUUCGUUGCAGCAAAGGGAUUUGUGGCGCCACUCAAACACAAAAGUACUCCAAGAAAGGAGCUAAUGGGAGCAAUAGGCAUGAGCAGAUUGGUGCAUGAAAUAAGUAGAGCACUACCGUACAAUAUUGCAUUCAAAUAUUUCUGGAUAGACAGCAAAGUUGUUAUUUAUUGGUUGAACUCCCAAUCUGGAAAAUUCAAACCAUUCGUUGCUUCAAGAGUACAAGAAUUUCAAGAUACACAUAAGAAUCUAACAAAAGAAGUCAAAUUCAUUCCAAGUCUUCUUAAUGCUGCAGAUUGUUUAACAAAACCUAUUUCCUGCGAGAAGCUUACAAUUUGGCAUGAAGGACCUGAAUUUCUAAGGCAACCAAUGGAAUAUUGGCCGAAUGAUGAUGACUUAAAAUUAGAUGAAUUACGUCAAGAAAUAUUGGAAGAAAAACCACCAACUAAGUCAAAAGCAUAUCGCGGAAAAAGACAAUUCAACGUCGUUAAAGCAGAUUUGCCUUAUCAAAAUGAUAAUGAUUUAGCGGAUAAUUUUUCUUCAUGGCAAGACUUGCUAAGAGCGACAGCUUGGAUGAAGGGUGCAUUUCAGCAAAAAUCAUUUGUCAAUUUGGAAUUUAAACCUGCCGAUGUCGUACAAUACAUAGAGAAAGCAAAAUUGUGUAUAUUCAGAAUUUGUCAAAAAUCUAUGAUUGAUGAAUUUGGGAAGGCUGUCAAAACUCUAUGGAAAUUAGACUUGUUAUUCGAUUCUCACGGAAUUCUUCGUAUUGGUGGAAGACUGAAUAGAACUGAUUUAUAUAUGGAAAUGAAGCAUCCAGUCGUGCUUCCGGGCAAACAUUCCCUCGUUCGUCUUCUUGGAGUGUUCUAUCAUAAAAAGUUCUUACAUCAAGGGUAUCGAGUUAUAUUGGCAAAUAUGAAGAAUGACGGUAUUGUUCUUAUUGGUGGAAGAAUACUCUUAAAAUCAAUAGCAUCAAUGUGUAUAUUUUGCAGGAUUCGUCGUAGAAAGUUGCUACAGCAACGCAUGGGAGAACUUCCUUCAUUUCGAAUGCAACCACAGAUGGCACCAUUCAAUUCUGUAGCAAUGGAUUUUUUCGGAUACUUGAAAGUAAAGCAAUCUCGAAAUGUAGUUAUCAACGCGUCUGUUUUAAUUAUUACAUGUGCAACCACUCGUUGUAUUCAUCUGGAACUGUGUCUGGCUCUGGAUACUAAUUCGUUCCUUCGGGCAUGGAGACGAUUUGUAUCUAUAAGGGGAAUUCAUCCUGCUUUUGUAUUUUCCGACGGAGGUACUACAUUUCAAGCUAGUCAAGCGCCUAUCAAGGAAUGGAUCGAGAAAUGGAAUUUUCAGUUGAUUCAACAUGAGAUGGCAGAGAAUCAAACGAAAUUUGAUUGGAAAUAUAAUGUGCCUUACGCGUCACAUAUGAAUGGAGUAGUAGAAUCGCUUAUCAACUCGGUUCGCAAAGCACUCGAUGCAUCAGUGGUGAAUUACAGCAGGGCUCUUAUGACCUACGAAGAAUGGACAACUGUUCUCAACGAAAUUACUUAUAUCAUCAAUAGUCGACCACUUUUCCCAGAUGGAAACCCUUUGGAAUAUAAUUGUAUUACUGGCAAUACUCUUUUACAUCCAUAUGCAAAGCAGGUAGUCCCUCAAACUACACAAGAAGAGAGAUUCAAUCCACGAGACAUGCUAAAAGUGGCGGAAAACAGAGUUGAGGUGUUCUGGAAAACAUGGAUGAAACACAUACCGCCUCAGCUAUUACUUGCUAACAAAUGGUUUCGAACAAGACGCAAUCUUCAAGUUGGAGAUUACGUAUUAAUUCUUCAACCUGGAUUUAAAGGCGGAAGUGCACCCAGAGGUUUAUGGAAAAAAGCACUGGUUCACAACAUUAUGCCCAGUUCAGAUGGCUUGGUGAGAAGUGUUACAAUCAAAGACAGCGAUGGGAAUUUAUACAAUCGACCAAUACAUAAACUUUGUCUAAUUGCGACCAAAGAAGAGCUACAGUGUGGGUUGAAAGACAUCUAAUCUCAUAUCAGUUACUCCGAAUCAACAAUGUUCAAUAUUAUCGUCUUUUUCAUUGCAUUCAUAGACUGGGGGGGAGUGGUUUGAACAUUUGACUGAUUUAUCUUGAUACUACUUACUUUUGGUGUGUUUACGUAUGGUUCACUGCAUCGCGAUUAUUGGCUGAUUACUUGAUUACUUCUUGUUAUGGUUAACUGUCUAGAGCUUUAGUCUGUCUUUAGAUCUGUUCUCAUAAGCUUGUUAAUGGUGCUAUAGUCAUUGGGUAUGAAUAUUCUAUUUCUUAAGUUUCUUACAUUGGGAUAAUCUGUUCUGACAAAGCCUCAUUUAAAUGUCACUUUGUCUUACUGAUAUCUGGAUUAAAUCACUUUGGGAGAAAUCUAUUCGUUUCAUUUCGGGAUAUUAGUUAAAGAGACAUAGUAGGCAAGGGUGAUUUGUCAAUGGGCAGAAAUCCAAACUAAAGGGU